rnacentral:rRNA from 1 species
CCUGGGGAGUACGGCCGCAAGGGCUAAAACUCAAAGGAAUUGACGGGGGCCCGCACAAGCCGGCGGAGCAUCGUGGAUUAAUUCGAUGCAACGCGAAGAACCUUACCUGGGCUCUGACAUACACUAGAUCUGCUGCAGAGAUGUAGUGUCCCUUGCAGGGUUGGUGUACAGGUGGUCGCAUCGGUUUGUCGUCAGACUCGACGUCCGCUCGAGAUCCAUUGGGCUAAGUCCCGCAACGAGCGCAACCCAUUGUCUUAUGUUGCCAGCACUUUGGCUUGGGGACUCAUGAGAGACUGCCGGGGUUAAACUCCGGAGGAAGGUGGGGAUCGACGUCAAACUCAUCAUGCCCCUUAGCUGUCCAGGGCUUCACACAUGCUACAAUGGUCGGUACAACGCGCAGCGACACUGUGAGCCUGGGAGCCGAAUCGCCUGAAAGCCGGUCUUAGUUCGGAAUUGGGCGUCCUGCAACUCGACCCCAUGAAGCAUCGGAGUCGCUAGUAAUC